AACACCCAAUAGCAUACGACGCCUUAGUUAACUAGACAACAAUUCCAUGUAAAGACAGAAUGUUUACCCAUGGUUGCGAACUGGCAAUACGGUGAAGAAGGCAGAUGGAGAGUGCGCUGCAGUUGCUGCCGUGUCGGAGAUGCUCACUCGACUGACUUUCCUUCGCCUUUUCUCUCUCCUUUUAUACAAUUUUUUUUUUCUCACCCUUACCUCUAAAGCCUUGCGGGUGUUGUACCUGCUUGAUAAUAAUGCAAAACGUCCGUCCUCACCCAUCCUCUACACCAUUGCAUAACACGUUUUACGUAAAGAUCUCCGUGACCUUCGAGUGUGUUACUGGCUUUUUCUUCUGCAGUUUGCUUGGGAUGGGUCUACAACAACCAAUAUCAAAAUGAAUACCAAAUGGGUUGACUUUGCUGGGGAUGGGUCUACAACAAACAAUAUCAAAAUGAAUACUAAAUGAAAUGGGUAUGGAUUAAAACUCACAUUUUAUUCGUGAUUCGUCUCCACUUCUCCCACCCCACCGCUAUCCCAAAAUGCCUCAGGGCUCAGCCUCACCCUAAGACCUAAUAAGUCCCUUCGGGAAACAGCGGAAAAAACAAAAAACAAACAAAACCAGCACAGAAACCCUCCGGGUAAUUUUGAAAUAAAUUUGAAAUAAUUUUUAAAAUUCAUUCAAGCGACUAAUAAGUUGAAUAAGAUUAACAACACUACAACGUGCAUUUUUCCUUCACAAAUGAGAAAACCACUCGUAAAGACAAUGCUACAGUUUAACAUGUAUUUAAACCGAUUAUUCAGAACUACAACAAGAACUGUUCUACGGAUUGUCGCAUCACUUGUCGACGGGAUCGCAGCCGAAGUUCUUCAAGAUAAUUUAUGGGCAUCAGUUCAGGUUGUUUUACAUCUUCCAUUGUUAUGCGACAUCCAUAACAAAGAACAGCACUCCAAUCACUUUUGAUUUGGUCAUUGGACGUCUUACAACACGGUUUGCCCUGAGAAUUGCAAUUAGAAUUACACGAUGUUGAGUCUUGAUGCUGAACAGUUCCAACGGAUUGCAAUGGAUGGUUUCUCAAAUUAUCCGAGGGAUGACCGGAUGGUCCACUUCGCGAAAUAGUCUGUGAAACGUGUCGGGCGGUUGAUGCACUACAAACUGAUGACUCUUCAAUGGCCGAAAGGCAUAAAAGACAAAGUGAAUCUCUUUCACAAUCGGAUGGAUUCGGAUCAGCAAUGUUUGAUUUCAGUUUAUCACUGAUA